UUCCGGUUGAUCCUGCCGGACCUGACUGCUAUCGGAUUGAUACUAAGCCAUGCGAGUCUUUGUAGUAAUACAAGGCAGACGGCUCAGUAACGCGUAGUCAACCUACCCUAUGGACGGGGAUAAUCUCGGGAAACUGAGCAUAAUACCCGGUGUGCCACCAUUCCUGGAAUGGUUGGUGGUUAAAAUGAUUCGUCGCCGUAGGAUGGGACUGCGACCUAUCAGCUUGUUGGUGGGGUAAAGGCCCACCAAGGCGAUUACAGGUACGGGCUCUGAGAGGAGAAGCCUGGAGAUGGGUACUGAGACACGGACCCAGGCCCUAUGGGGCGCAGCAGGCGAGAAAACUUUGCAAUGUGCGAAAGCACGACAAGGUUAAUCCGAGUGAUUUCUGCUAAAGGAAUCUUUUGCCAGUUCUAAAAAUACUAGUGAAUAAGGGGUGGGCAAGUUCUGGUGUCAGCCGCCGCGGUAAAACCAGCACCUCAAGUGGUCAGGAGGAUUAUUGGGCCUAAAGCAUCCGUAGCCUGCUCUGUAAGUUUUCGGUUAAAUCUAUAUGCUCAACGUAUAGGCCGCCGAAAAUACUGCAGUGCUAGGAAGUGGGAGAGGUAGACGGUACUUGGUAGGAAGGGGUAAAAUCCUUUGAUCUAUCGAUGACCACCUGUGGCGAAGGCGGUCUACCAGAACACGUUCGACGGUGAGGGAUGAAAGCUGGGGGAGCAAACCGGAUUAGAUACCCGGGUAGUCCCAGCUGUAAACGAUGCAGACUCGAUGAUGCAUUGGCAUCUAGCCAGUGCAGUGUCGCAGGGAAGCCGUUAAGUCUGCCGCCUGGGAAGUACGUACGCAAGUAUGAAACUUAAAGGAAUUGGCGGGGGAGCACCACAAGGGGUGAAGCCUGCGGUUCAAUUGGAGUCAACGCCGGA
rnacentral:rRNA from 1 species